ACGAACGCUGGCGGCAGGCCUAACACAUGCAAGUCGAGCGCGCCUUCGGGUGAGCGGCGGACGGGUGAGUAACACGUGGGAAUAUGCCUUUCGGUGCGGAAUAGUCUUGGGAAACUGAGGGUAAUACCGCAUAUGCCCCUUGGGGGAAAGAUUUAUCGCCGAAAGAUUAGCCCGCGUUGGAUUAGGUAGUUGGUGGGGUAAUGGCCUACCAAGCCGACGAUCCAUAGCUGGUUUGAGAGGAUGAUCAGCCACACUGGGACUGAGACACGGCCCAGACUCCUACGGGAGGCAGCAGUGGGGAAUCUUAGACAAUGGGGGCAACCCUGAUCUAGCCAUGCCGCGUGAGUGAUGAAGGCCUUAGGGUUGUAAAGCUCUUUCAGCUGGGAAGAUAAUGACGUACCAGCA
rnacentral:rRNA from 1 species